GGAAAUCGAAGCUAAUACCGCAUAAUCCCGAGAGGGGAAAGCAGCAAUGCGCUGAAAGAGUAGUCCGCGGCUGAUUAGCUAGUUGGUGAGGUAAUGGCUCACCAAGGCGAUGAUCGGUAGCCGGCCUGAGAGGGCUCACGGCCACAUUGGCACUGAAACACGGGCCAGACUCCUACGGGAGGCAGCAGUCGGGGAUAUUGCACAAUGGGGGAAACCCUGAUGCAGCGACGCCGCGUGAGUGAUGAAGCCCUUCGGGGUGUAAAGCUCUUUCGACGGGAACGAUAAUGACGGUACCCGGAGAAGAAGCUGCGGCUAACUACGUGCCAGCAGCCGCGGUAAUACGUAGGCAGCAAGCGUUGUUCGGAAUUACUGGGCGUAAAGCGAGUGUAGGUGGUGCUAUAAGUUUGGUGUGAAAUCUCCCGGCUCAACUGGGAGGGUGCGCCGAAGACUGUAGUGCUAGAGUAUGGGAGAGGUAGGCGGAAUUCCUGGUGUAGCGGUGAAAUGCGUAGAUAUCAGGAGGAACACCUGCGGUGUAGACGGCUUACUGGACCAUGACUGACACUGAAACUCGAAAGUGUGGGGAGCAAACAGGAUUAGAUACCCUGGUAGUCCACACCCUAAACGAUGCAUACUUGGUGUGAGCGAUUCAUUUCGUUCGUGCCGGAGCUAACGCGUUAAGUAUGCC
rnacentral:rRNA from 1 species